rnacentral:rRNA from 1 species
UACGGAGGGUGCAAGCGGUGUUCGGAAUUACUGGGCGUAAAGCGCGUGUAGGCGGACCCAGAAGUCGGGUGUGAAAGCCCCAGGCUCAACCCGGGAAGUGCGCUCGAAACCAUGGGUCUUGAGGUCCGGAGGGGAUCGGGGAAUUCCUGGUGUAGAGGUGAAAUUCGUAGAUAUCAGGAGGAACACCGGUGGCGAAGGCGCCGAUCUGGACGGAUUCUGACGCUGAGACGCGAAAGCGUGGGUAGCAAACAGG